rnacentral:lncRNA from 1 species
AUACGCAUGAUCUGGACGAUUCUGGGGCCUCAAGAGAGGAAGAGAAGGAGUCAUGAAGGGUGCAGGACUCUGCUUCUGGGCAGGAGGGGGACUCCCAACACAAACUCCGCACUGAGCCCCACCUUGGAGCCUCCUGCACUCUGCAGGGCCAGUGCAUAGCCCCCUGCUCAUGGUGCGAGCCAGCUGACUCCUAGGCUGCUGGCCCUGCCAAGGUAAGGACAGAGGAUGCCUGUUGUACGCUGACAGCCCCUGCACUUACUUCUCGCUGUGCCAUC